ACAUGAUUGGCUAGAUUACCCUCAUUGUUCUAUUGUAUUCCCGUUCUUCGUCUGUGUUGCAUCAAUCCAAACCAAUCCAAUGUGGUGAAAUCUUCUGAUAGCUUCUACGUGGCUCUGUGAGAAUCACAAUUUCGGUACUUUCGCCAAACUCUGAAGCGUACUGAAGGAUUUCGUCGCUAGCAAACCAACUGAUAAAAGCUGUACCAAACAUCACGUCCAUCGCUUCCUGAUUGGCUAUACAAAGGUAGCACUAUAACGGCUGUUUUGCUACCCUGGUUCCAGAGCCUCGAGCGUCUCUCUCUAUUUAGUGGCCACUUCGCUCGGUACUGUUUUGGUGAACUCGAGAAACAACGAAGCUUGCCUUGAUCUUUUUAUGCAGCGUAAGAUUUGGUUUGUAAGGCAUUACAAAUUUAACGUUUUGUCAGAAAGCACUCCACUCCGCGGUCAAGGAGUUUGAAGGCUCUAUUUAAUCACCAAAAAGUGUUCGAAGGUUAGGUCCACGCUAUGAGGAGUGUAAUGAGCAACACUAAAGAACAGUUCACAAUAAAAAGCACCAGUAAUUCUUACGAGGGCCUACACGUCUUUGACUCCUCCCUUGGUGCUGACGCCUGCUUGACUCAGGUCCAGACCCUCUGUUAACUCGGUUAAAAUAGGAUGCGCAUCCAAAAUUACCUGGAAACAACAAAUCAGAAACACACGUGUCAAGUUAAAUAUCGUUUUUAAAAACAGGUCCAAAACCUGUUACAUUCCGGUCUUACCUGUUUCUUGUCAGCUAGCAUAUCCAUGAGCCCACGCAUCACGUGAUCGUACCCAGGGUACAUGUCGGUGCCGAAUCUGGAUAAUGCACACUGUAUGACGUCAUCGAUGAGAAGAAGGCGAUACCACACGUAAAAUGGCUUGGGAUUCUGAAGCGAUCCCGCUCGCAGCAAAUCUGGGGAGGAUAAGUUUAUUUAUUUAUUUAAAAACGUCGUACCUAUCUUGAAGGGCAGUAUGGUCAUCCAUGGAUGUGAUUGGGCGGUACGAUGAUGGUGUCUUCUGCAAAUAGCCUGAUUUGAGAAUUUGAUGAUUUACAUAUAUCGUUGAUAUACAACAAAAACAGGGUCGGUCCAAGUACGGAACGCUGUGGUAUUCCUGAUGUUACUUGUACUUUAUCAGAGUGGGUGCCAUUGACUGACACAUACUGGGACCUCUUAUUUAGGAAACCAGAUAUUCAAGCCAAUGUUUUUCCCCUGAUGCCAUAAUAAGAAAUAUUGAAAUAUUGAUAGUAUGUUGUUAGAUGAUAUGAGUUUGUUCAGAUGGCUGAGAACAAUGUGUUCCAUGAUCUUGCAGCUGAUACAGGUAAGAUAGAUAGGGCGAUAGUUUUCCGGAAGAUCUUUAGCUGACUUUUUAUGUAUUGGGACGACCAUCGCAUUUAGCCAAAUAGCUGGUAAGGUCCCCUCAUUGUAGCUUUGGUUGAGAAUAAAGCACAGCAUCCCGCCACAUCCUUGCCACACAUGACGUUAAGUGACUUAAAGAUCAUAAGAGUCAUAAGGUUUCACAAUCCCGUAACAAUCCUUGCCACACAUGACGUUAAGUGACGUAAAGAUCAUAAGAGUCAUAAGGUUUCACAAUCCCGUAACAAUCCUUGCCACACAUGACGUUAAGUGACGUUAAGAUCAUAAGAGUCAUAAGGUUUCACAAUCCCGUAACAAUCUUUGCCACACAUGACGUUAAGUGACGUUAAGAUCAUAAGAGUCAUAAGGUUUCACAAUCCCGUAACAAUCCUUGCCACACAUGACGUUAAGUGACGUUAAGAUUAUAAGAGUCAUAAGGUUUCACAAACCGAAACAACCCUUAAAUACAUACAUACACUUUAUUUAUACAAGUACAAGUACAUCAGUUACAAUAUAAAAAUAUAUUUACAUAUCACUGGUUUCCAUGACUUGCCGUGUGUUCGUCUGAUAAGGCAAAAUGAUUAUGAAGAAACGUUUUAAAUUUUGCUUUGGAAUUAGUUUGCAUUUCAUCUGAAAAAUUGUUCCAGAGUUUGGCUCGCAGGUUUCAAAUAGAUUUGUCAGAUAAGAAGGAAAGAGAUUAUUUAGAGUUUUGAACAUUGCCACUCCCAGGUGUUUGGACCUUCUUGUAGAGACAUCGUCCCAAUCAAGAAGGCGCCUGAGAGUGGCAGAUCUAGUGUCGAAAUUCGAUUUGGUAAUUAUUCUUGCCGAACGAUUUUGUAAUUUUUGUAAUUUGUCGUAAAGCUUGGAGCUAAUGUCGUGCCAAACAGGUCUGCAGUAGUCAAAGUGUGGCUCUAUCAACGCCUUAUAAAUGGUACAUGCAGUUCCCCUUGAUACGAAAGGACGCACUCGUUCAAGGGCGCCGAUCCCACUUGAAAGUUUCUUAGAUUUUUCGUCUAUGUGCUUUUCCCAGCUUAAAUUCUUGUCAAUAUGCAAACCUGAGGAUUUCGUGUUUUCAACUCUAGAUAUUUCAUUGUUUUCGAUCCUUAUUGAUAUAUUCACUCCACCGGCUCUGGCCUUCAGCCUCUGCCUCGAACCGAUGAUCAUGAAUUCUGUUUUAGUUAUGUUUAAACUAAGCUUAUUUGCCAAUAGCCAUUUGUGUAAUUUCGAUAAUUCUGAAUUAAUUUUACACUCGAGUUCAACAAGGUUCGAAGCCGAAAAGGUAAUUAUUGUAUCAUCGGCAUACAUUCGAGGGAGGGAGCUGUGAAGACAGUGAGGGAGAUCAUUAAUAUAGAUAAGGAACAGAAGUGGGCCAAUUAUUGAGCCUUGAGGUACGCCGCAUGUUAGGGUGUGGCUACCAGAAAGGUGGCCAUUGACCCGACACUUCUGUUUCCUGUCUGUUAAAUAUGAUCUGAACCACUUCAGGCUAGUUUUUUUUUUCAAAAUAAUUUCAUGGUCAAUCGUAUCAAAGGCUUUUUUGAGAUCAAUAAAAAUCACUCCAUUAAGAAGACCAUUGUCAAUGUUGACAUACCAGUCAUUGGUAGCUUCUAGUAGGGCCGUUAGAGUACUAUGGAGUGACCUAAAGCCUGACUGAUAAGCUGUUAAUAAUUUGUUUUCGUUAAGGUAGCUG